UGGAGGUACCUAACUAUUAGUGUUGCUUGAUAUUAUUGAUAAUAAUUAUGUUUUAUAAAACUUGUGAAAUAUGUGGUUUAAGAGCCGCUAGCCGGUCGUAUAGAUGGCCAAAAGAGAAUUUUCAUGGCCAAAUUUCCACUGGAUGAGGAAAGAUGUAAACAGUGGGUUAAGAUGACCGGUAAGGAGGAUCUGGUUUAUGUGCCUAUUGAAAAGCUACAUCAACUUAAACGAAUUUGUGGCAAUAAUUUUCUACCACAACAUUUUAAGAACACAAUUGAAAAAAAAACAAUUCCAUGUGUGGGACUUACUGCAGACACUUUAUUUUAUAAUAAAUAAAUAUAAUUAUAUUUUU